rnacentral:rRNA from 1 species
CAGGGGGUGCAAACGUUGCUCGGAAUUAUUGGGCGUAAAGCGCGCGUAGGCGGUUACCUAAGUUGGAUGUGAAAGCCCUUGGCUUAACCGAGGAAGUGCAUCCAAAACUGGGUAGCUAGAGUGUGGAAGAGGGUCGCGGAAUUCCCGGUGUAGAGGUGAAAUUCGUAGAUAUCGGGAGGAACACCAGUGGCGAAGGCGGCGACCUGGUCCGAAACUGACGCUGAGGCGCGAAAGCGUGGGGAGCAAACAGGAUUAGAUACCCUGGUAGUCCACGCCGUAAACGAUGGGUGCUUGCUGUUGCUGGUAUUGACCCCGGCAGUGGCGAAGCUAACGCGAUAAGCACCCCGCCUGGGGAGUACGGCCGCAAGGCUA